AAACAAUAGGAAUGUUGGCAAUCCGGUACUCGCCCCGGUACCGGAUCUUGUGAAUCCGCAACCCGCUCCGAUACCGACUGCUGUGAAUCCGGUACCGAUGGUUGGGAUUCCGCAACGGAAACGUCAAAUCGGGUUUUUACCAUAAACCCGUCUCCUCAGCAAAAGCUGAUACAAUCAUAAAAAAGAGAAAUACCAAAACUGAAAAUAUGCGGGUAAAAUAAGAUUCAUUAAAUAAGAGAAGAUUACACCUGACUCCUCUUCUGUACAGAGUAGCUACAAUCCGAGCUCUCUUUCUGAAUCUCUCCUACCCUUCUCUCGUCUUCUAUAAUCCCAUAAAGAAGACAAUCAUCCGCGCGCACCCAUGCACUAGGUGCACUAAAUAACUCUCUCUCUCCCUUUUUCUCUCUCUGGUACGGCACCCAAGAGGCCUUUUCUCUCUCCCGUACUCACAUCUCAAAAGCAAACCCACAAAGAGCUAUUUAUAAGGCUCCACAAAAAAAUACCCAAAUCCUAAUAUAUUUAGGAUUUCUACUCCAAUUAAUAUCUAAAUCUAUCUUAAUUAAUCUCUAAUAGAUUUAAAUAUUAAUCCUAAUCUAGUUAGAUUUUAUCCUCUAAUUUAAUAUUUAAAUCUUAAUUUAUCUCCAAUAGAUUUAAAUAUUAAUUCUUAUCUAACUAGGAUUCAAUUACAAAUCUAACCAAAUCCUAACAAUCUCCACCUUGGUUGGAUUUGUAAUAUUCAACCGUCACGUCGAGCUAACCAUGUAAGCUCCACCUUGAGCUUGUCUCCUCCACUCGAUGUCGCCGCAUCCAUCGCUUCGCCUCGAGCGACUGCACCUCCGCGAACUUUUGGAACCCAAACCGUCUUCGCUCCCGUUUUGACUGUGCUUUCGUUCAGAACGUACAAGUUGCCACGCUUGUUCGCCUCGCACACGACCCGAUCUCGUUUUCGGACUCUCAUAGCUCCACCUGAAGCCAAAAUAUCGCAACCCUUCGAGUCCAAUGCACCUAACGAGAUCAAAUUUCGCUUCAAUCCAGGAACGUACCGCACACCUGUCAGCGUCCUCACGACCCCAUCGUGCAUUCGGAUCUUCACCAUGCCUGCUCCCAAAACUUUGCACGUCGUCCCGUUCCCCAUUAGAGCUUUUCCACCUUUGAUCGCCUUAUAGGUUGCAAAAGACUCCUUCUCCGGGCAUACGUGAAAAGAACACGCCGAAUCGAGCACCCACGCGUCAUCCGAAAUUUUCGCACCUCCGGUCGCCGCAUAUAGCACAUCAGAAUCGAUCAUCUCCAACUCUGCUGUCUGCGCUGUCGCUGAUACCGUCUUGUCCUGGUUCACAACAGUUUGCUCCUUCUGUCCCUUUAACUCCUUCAGAUCAUCGUGAAGUUUUCGACAAUUGCGCUUGAUAUGCCCCUUCCUGUGACAGUAAAAGCAUUCUACCUCAGAUAGCGGUUUCUUCUGUCGAUAUCCGGUCGCCGAUAUUCUCGCAUCCUUCUUCGCAGUCACCAUCAGUCCUACAUCCUGACUUUGCGUGCCGGACCCCUGAGUCAUCUUCCGCAUCUCGUUCGAAAGAAGCGCCGCCGUGACCACCUCCACGCUUAUGGACUCCUUGUCAUAAAGUAACGUGGUCACCAGAUGCUCAUAUGUCGCCGGUAGCGAAGAUAGUAAAAUCAGCGCCUUAUCUUCGUCAUCCAGAUUGACUCCGAUGCUAGUCAACUGGGCCACCACCUUGUUGAACUCGUUCAGAUGAUCAUGUAGACUCGCCGCUUCUUGCAUCCGCAAUGUAAACAGUCGCUGCUUCAGAUACAAUCUGUUCGUCAGGGAUUUGGUCAUGUACAGAUCUUCCAAUUUCUUCCACAACUUCGCCGGUGUCGUCUCGCUGGCUACGUUGUAAAGAACCUCAUCUGCUAAUAAUAGAUGAAGCGUACUCAGCGCCUUCCGCUCCAUCUUCGUCCAUGCCGCAUCCGUGACCUCCGCCGGCUUCGCCUCCUUCCCGUUCAACGUCUCGUCCAAUUCUUGCUGUACGAGGAUCGCUCGUACUUUAAUUUGCCACAAUCCGAAAUUGUUCUUGCCGUCGAACUUCUCGAUUUCGAAUUUCGUAGCCAUCUUCGUCGAUCUCUCCCUCGGAUCGAUAACCUUCAGCUCUGAUACCACUUGUUGGGAAUCCGGUACUCGCCCCGGUACCGGAUCUCGUGAAUCCGCAACCCGCUCCGAUACCGACUGCUGUGGAUCCGGUAUCGAUUGUUGGGAUUCCGCAACGGAAACGUCAAAUCGGGUUUUUACCAUAAACCCGUCUCCUCAGCAAAAGCUGAUACAAUCAUAAAAGAGAGAAAUACCAAAACAGAAAAUAUGCGGGUAAAAUAAGAUUCAUUAAAUAAGAGAAGAUUACACCUGACUCCUCUUCUGCACAGAGUAACUACAACCCGAGCCCUCUUUCUGAAUCUUUUCUACCCUUCUCUCGUCUUCUAUAAUCCCAUAAAGAAGACAAUCAUCCGCGCGCACCCAUGCACUAGGUGCACUAAAUAACUCUCUCUCUCUCUUUUUCUCUCUCUGGUACGGCACCCAAGAGGCCUUUUCUCUCUCUCCCGUACUCACAUCAAAAAAGCAAACCCACAAAGAGUUAUUUAUAAGGCUACACUAAAACGUACCCCAAUCCUAAUAUAUUUAGAAUUUCUACUCCAAUUAAUAUCUAAAUCUAUCUUAAUUAAUCUCUAAUAGAUUUAAAUAUUAAUCCUAAUCUAGUUAGAUUUUAUCCUCUAAUUUAAU
rnacentral:lncRNA from 1 species